UACGAAGGGGGCUAGCGUUGCUCGGAAUCACUGGGCGUAAAGCGCACGUAGGCGGAUCUUUAAGUCAGGGGUGAAAUCCCGAGGCUCAACCUCGGAACUGCCUUUGAUACUGGGGAUCUCGAGUCCGGGAGAGGUGAGUGGAACUGCGAGUGUAGAGGUGAAAUUCGUAGAGUAUUCGCAAGAACGACCAGUGCGAGGCGGAGCUCACCUGGCCCGGUACGUCGGACGCUGAGGCU
rnacentral:rRNA from 1 species